ACUCCUACGGGAGGCAGCAGUGAGGAAUAUUGGACAAUGGGCGGGAGCCUGAUCCAGCCAUGCCGCGUGCAGGAAGACUGCCCUAUGGGUUGUAAACUGCUUUUGUACAGGAAGAAACACCUCCCUCGGUGAGGGAGUCUUGACGGUACUGUAAGAAUAAGGAUCGGCUAACUCCGUGCCAGCAGCCGCGGUAAUACGGAGGAUCCAAGCGUUAUCCGGAAUCAUUGGGUUUAAAGGGUCCGUAGGUGGAUGAUUAAGUCAGAGGUGAAAUCCUGCAGCUCAACUGUAGAAUUGCCUUUGAUACUGGUUGUCUUGAAUUAUUGUGAAGUAGUUAGAAUAUGUGGUGUAGCGGUGAAAUGCAUAGAUAUCACAUAGAAUACCGAUUGCGAAGGCAGAUUACUAACAAUACAUUGACACUGAUGGACGAAAGCGUGGGGAGCGAACAGGAUUAGAUACCCUGGUAGGAUAGCGU
rnacentral:rRNA from 1 species